GAUUGAACGCUGGCGGCAGGCCUAACACAUGCAAGUCGAACGGCAGCACAGAAGAGCUUGCUCUUUGGGUGGCGAGUGGCGGACGGGUGAGUAAUGUCUGGGAAACUGCCCGGUGGAGGGGGAUAACUACUGGAAACGGUAGCUAAUACCGCAUAACGUCGCAAGACCAAAGUGGGGGACCUUCGGGCCUCACACCAUCGGAUGUGCCCAGAUGGGAUUAGCUAGUAGGUGGGGUAAUGGCUCACCUAGGCGACGAUCCCUAGCUGGUCUGAGAGGAUGACCAGCCACACUGGAACUGAGACACGGUCCAGACUCCUACGGGAGGCAGCAGUGGGGAAUAUUGCACAAUGGGCGCAAGCCUGAUGCAGCCAUGCCGCGUGUAUGAAGAAGGCCUUCGGGUUGUAAAGUACUUUCAGCGGGGAGGAAGGCGGUGAGGUUAAUAACCUUGCCGAUUGACGUUACCCGCAGAAGAAGCACCGGCUAACUCCGUGCCAGCAGCCGCGGUAAUACGGAGGGUGCAAGCGUUAAUCGGAAUUACUGGGCGUAAAGCGCACGCAGGCGGUCUGUUAAGUCAGAUGUGAAAUCCCCGGGCUUAACCUGGGAACUGCAUUUGAAACUGGCAGGCUUGAGUCUCGUAGAGGGGGGUAGAAUUCCAGGUGUAGCGGUGAAAUGCGUAGAGAUCUGGAGGAAUACCGGUGGCGAAGGCGGCCCCCUGGACGAAGACUGACGCUCAGGUGCGAAAGCGUGGGGAGCAAACAGGAUUAGAUACCCUGGUAGUCCACGCCGUAAACGAUGUCGACUUGGAGGUUGUGCCCUUGAGGCGUGGCUUCCGGAGCUAACGCGUUAAGUCGACCGCCUGGGGAGUACGGCCGCAAGGUUAAAACUCAAAUGAAUUGACGGGGGCCCGCACAAGCGGUGGAGCAUGUGGUUUAAUUCGAUGCAACGCGAAGAACCUUACCUGGCCUUGACAUCCAGAGAACUUAGCAGAGAUGCUUUGGUGCCUUCGGGAACUCUGAGACAGGUGCUGCAUGGCUGUCGUCAGCUCGUGUUGUGAAAUGUUGGGUUAAGUCCCGCAACGAGCGCAACCCUUAUCCUUUGUUGCCAGCGGUCCGGCCGGGAACUCAAAGGAGACUGCCAGUGAUAAACUGGAGGAAGGUGGGGAUGACGUCAAGUCAUCAUGGCCCUUACGAGUAGGGCUACACACGUGCUACAAUGGCGCAUACAAAGAGAAGCGACCUCGCGAGAGCAAGCGGACCUCAUAAAGUGCGUCGUAGUCCGGAUUGGAGUCUGCAACUCGACUCCAUGAAGUCGGAAUCGCUAGUAAUCGUAGAUCAGAAUGCUACGGUGAAUACGUUCCCGGGCCUUGUACUCACC
rnacentral:rRNA from 1 species